rnacentral:rRNA from 1 species
GACGAACGCUGGCGGCGUGCCUAAUACAUGCCAGUCGAACGAGAGCGACCGGUGCUUGCACUGGUCAAUCUAGUGGCGAACGGGUGAGUAACACGUGGGUAACCUGCCCAUCAGAGGGGGAUAACAUCCGGAAACGGAUGCUAAAACCGCAUAGGUCUUCGAACCGCAUGGUUUGAAGAGGAAAAGAGGCGCAAGCUUCUGCUGAUGGAUGGACCCGCGGUGCAUUAGCUAGUUGGUGAGGUAACGGCUCACCAAGGCCGUGAUGCAUAGCCGACCUGAGAGGGGGAUCGGCCACAUGGGGACUGAGACACGGCCCAAACUCCUACGGGAGGCAGCAGUAGGGAAUCUUCCGCAAUGGACGAAAGUCUGACGGAGCAACGCCGCGUGAGUGAAGAAGGUUUUCGGAUCGUAAAACUCUGUUGUUAGAGAAGAACAAGUGCUAGAGUAACUGUUAGCGCCUUGACGGUACCUAACCAGAAAGCCACGGCUAACUACGUG